GUGCCAGCCGCCGCGGUAAUACGUAGGGGGCGAGCGUUGUCCGGAUUCAUUGGGCGUAAAGCGCGCGCAGGCGGCAGUCGGAGCCCGGCGUGAAAGCUCCCAGCUUAACUGGGAGAGGUCGUCGGGGACCCGGCAGCUCGAGGCCGGUAGGGGUGAGCGGAAUUCCCGGUGUAGUGGUGGAAUGCGUAGAGAUCGGGAGGAACACCGGUGGCGAAGGCGGCUCACUGGGCCGGUCCUGACGCUCAGGCGCGAAAGCGUGGGGAGCGAUCCGGAUUAGAAACCCGGGUAGUCC
rnacentral:rRNA from 1 species